rnacentral:rRNA from 1 species
UACGGAGGGUGCGAACGUUGUUCGGAUUCACUGGGCGUAAAGGGCACGUAGGCGGCUUGGCAAGUCGGUCGUGGAAUCCCGACGCUUACCGUCGGAACGGCGGCCGAAAAUACCGAGCUCGAGGGCGGGAGGGGUCACUGGAACUCCUGGUGAAGCGGUGAAAUGCGUAGAUAUCAGGAGGAACGCCGGAGGCGAAAGCGAGUGACUGGCGCGUUCCUGACGCUGAGGUGCGAAAGCUAGGGGAGCAAACAGG